GAUCCUAUGCUGUCAAAAACUGCACAGGUGCUUCAUUCUCUUGCUUUUUGGCUGAUACUCUCACUGGAUGGAGGUUUCAUUUUUGCACUGAAUGUAGCCAGGACGGAUCCUUGUGGGCUUUGGCAGCCCUUGGAAACUGUCAAAGGCAGUAUUUUGCAUUUCUGCAGAGCUUUGCACAGAUCCUGUUCCCAUGCAAACUGAUGAGGGAGAAAUACUGGAGGAAGGCAGUCCCAAGGUCAGUGAGAUGGAACAUGAGGAUUUUGUAAUGGAGGGGCAUGGCAAGACUCCACCUCCUGGUGAAGAAAACAAACAGUCUGGUUGAUAAGUGGCUGUUCCCUCCCCCAAGUUGCCGCUUCCUCAGGAGCUGCCUGAGGUAACUGCCCUCUGAUGUGUCAUUUAUAUCGAUGGCUGGACGUUGCUUUCUCUUUAGUAUUUCAUUGCUGUUUAGAUGGCAACUGUUGGAUGACCUCUUACAUAGGCGUGAGAUUAACAGAGUUAAAGAAUAGCAAGCAAAAUCACUUAAGGGCUGUUAAUAAUUUUGAUCCCUGUCUAAAUUAGUGUUUUGUCUAUAUUCUUAAUGUAAAAAUAUAUUUUAGUUUAGACAAAUUUCUGUGGUAUCUACACCAAGUUAGUGCCACACAUUUUGAUUUGGGAAGGAUUCAAUUCUUGUGACUGUUAGUGCCUAAGUCAGUGGCAUCAUAAAUGUGUAUGAAUUACAGUCUUGAAACUUACUUUUUUUCCCCUUUGCAUCCAAUUCAAGUUGCUCAGUGCUUUUUUCCCUGCUUCAUUCUCUUCAAAGAAUGAAUACAUUUGUCAAGUCUUUGGUAUUUUUUGUGUGUACACCUGAAUGAAUGGUUGAAUCUUCCUUUAAAAGAGAUGAAGGGGGUAAAGAAAAAAAAUUCUAAUGGCUGUAUGUUAAAUUAGAGUUUGUGCUCUCUUAUUGUGUCCUGUGUCCAGAAAAUAGAAAUUUUGGUGACUAUCCAUUAUGCCUUAGAGAUACCAGAGGUUAAAGGAUAAAAAAAGCAAAUGGUCUUAAAGUCCAGGAAAUUGUUUCUAAGUUGCAGAUCCCAUUUAGACCCUUCAGGGAGUGACCAUUAUUGGUUAAAGAAGGGGAGGGAAGGGGAAAAAAAGCAAGCUCUUUAUUCCAUGUAGAAGAUACGACUUACUUUGUAUGACUAAAAAUACUGUGCUCUGUGGUCAACAUGGUAUGAAUUAAAAACUUGUUUACAGAGAUAUUUUGGAGCUCUUAAGCUGCAUUGCUCCUCUGGCAUGCUGUGAUCUGGAGAGCUGGUAUGAUUUCUUUUACUCCUACCUAGAUAAUGGAAUUUGCUGAACCCUUUGCCCUUCAUCGAAGUAGAUCAUAUUUGGGGGUCAUACUGGUUUUAGGUUAGUGCAUGCAUUUGAAUAUUUGUGACAGCUACAGCUUGUAGAAUUUUCUGCAUGGAUAGCUAGCUGUUCCUUUCCUGACAUUUCAAACUGAAGGGCUGUACAUGAAGGCAAAUUACUUGGGGAAGAUGUUCAAGUCACUUGGAAAGAUCAGUUUACAGAUUUUUGUAGCAAUAAAUAGUGCUUUUAUUAGAAAAAUGAGUCAAAUUAGGGAAAUCUUCUCUUACAGUAAUCCACUGAAUAUGCAUUCUUUUUGUAUUCUGCUUUUACUUUGGGGUUU